AUUAGAUAACCAUUUAAAUACUUAACUACUUGCAGUUAUUCUUUAUCAAUCACCAAAUCUCAGGACAUUUACCUGAAGCUGCAUGGAACAUGACCACAAAAGUUCUACAGAACUAGGGUUGGGAAAGUUACCAGAUUUUUGCAACCUUCCAUGACAGAACAUUACUAGGCUACUGGAAGCUAGUGAUGUCGACUCCAAAAUAAUGAAUUCCAUUCUACCACUGAAGUUCCACAGAAUAUUACUAGAUUCAUGACGAUAGACCAACACAACUGAACUAGGCUAGAGCAAUUGUUUCCCUCUUCCCGUUGAGUAAAGCAUUGAGCAACGCUUCCAGUCUUUGGUUCCACGGAAGCUCAAUGGGACAUGGUUUUGCUGAAACUAAGGAAAAAGAGAAAUUGCCACGUCCACGUGCAUCCCAUGUUCAUCAGGUUGCAUUAAAUACUUCAGCACGUUUAGGUGGUGGGCCAUAGCAAGCUAUCUGAUUUAGCUUCUGAGAUGGUGGCUCUCUGUCGAGCUGGACAUGCAAAAACCCGCCAAGUACUGACCUGUAAAGCAAUCAAAACUUGUGUACUAUCCAUGGUACUAUCUCUGCUGAUCACCUCUGCCAAUUAUGUUAUCCAUACUUACGGUAGUAGAAAGCUGGUUCCAGCUCGAGAGAGAUCUCCGUCCGACAAACUGCUGUCAGGGUCUAUUCAGCUCUCUUGUGUCCUGCUCCCAGAGAUCAACCAAGUGUUAUUCGCCAAGCAUGAGCUGAUUCCCUCCCCUGUGAGGAGAACCAUCCUACUGCAGUUUGGACUAGCCCUGCUUUCUCUAUUUAGACAUUGGGACCACAUGCUGUAUGUCUUUGCCUGUUGUCUUUCUUUGUGGGUUUUGGAUUUUGUCUUAUACAGUAUAGUGCAUUUUAGUGUUGAAGAACACCUACUACAGAUACACGUGCUUGUUUGACCAUCUUUAUUCAUUAUUGUCUCUCACUUUUGUCUCCCAUUAUCUAUUCACCAAGAAGUCCUGCAGUUUGAAUCAGCCCUGACAUCACUAUUUAGACAUUGAGACCACAUGUGCAUUUGCCUGUUGUCUUUUCUUUGUGAGUUUUGUCUCACUCAAUCUAGUGCAUUUUAGAGUCGAUUAACACCAACUGCAGAUAUACGUGCUUGUUUGAGCAGCUUGAAGACUAAAUUCAAUGUAUAAUCAGUUUACCAACAUGUGACCAACAUAUGAUUUUACUAUUGUAACAUUCUAUUGUCCCCGUCAGAAGCCCAGGCUUUUGCCAUAGACGGUAGAGUUCUCGUCUCUGGACCACAACAAGCUUUAGAAUGCAUUCUGAUAAGGCACUUGUCUCUCUACAUCGGUCAGCUACAUUGUUGACCAGGAUGGGAACCUUUCGACAUGCCUAUGAGGGGCUUGGCACACAAAUGGGGGAAUACUGAAGCAUGUGUUGAUGAUAGUUCUACUGUCUACAUCACAGGCCCAGGCUUUUGGCAUAGACGGUAAAAGCUCUAAUUUAUGAACUGCAACAUUGUAAGAUUGUUCCCUCCACGGAACUUGAUAUACCUUGAUUUGUAGGCUACACUAUAUUUAGAUACUUCAAAUACUGCCUGAGACACUUGUAGAAAAAAAGACUGCCUGAGAUAGACACCUUUGCUAUGUGUUGCCGUACUCAACAAAUGAUGAAACACUGUUAGAGAUUGUGUUCUUUUCUCAAAUACAUAUGCAUGGAUUGUACAAUAUGCAAAACAUGCUAAGCCAAUCUUUGUAUUCAGUCUUUUAGUAUACUAUAAAUAUGCUGUCAUCACA